rnacentral:rRNA from 1 species
ACUCCUACGGGAGGCAGCAGUGGGAAUAUUGCACAAUGGGCGCAAGCCUGAUGCAGCCAUGCCGCGUGUAUGAAGAAGGCCUUCGGGUUGUAAAGUACUUUCAGCAGUGAGGAAGGUGGAUGCGUUAAUAGCGUAUUCAUUUGACGUUAGCUGCAGAAGAAGCACCGGCUAACUCCGUGCCAGCAGCCGCGGUAAUACGGAGGGUGCGAGCGUUAAUCGGAAUUACUGGGCGUAAAGCGCAUGCAGGCGGCCUGUUAAGUCAGAUGUGAAAGCCCGGGGCUUAACCUCGGAAUUGCAUUUGAAACUGGCAGGCUAGAGUCUUGUAGAGGGGGGUAGAAUUUCAGGUGUAGCGGUGAAAUGCGUAGAGAUCUGAAGGAAUACCAGUGGCGAAGGCGGCCCCCUGGACAAAGACUAGACGCUCAGAUGCGAAAGCGUGGGGAGCAAACAGGAUUAGAUGA